rnacentral:lncRNA from 1 species
UUACCAGCUAAAAUGGGGCCUGUGGGCUCUUCCCUACGAUUGAACUGGAGAAACAGGAACAGACUUGUAGGUUUCUGUGGGUGGAGCAUUUUGACAAACUUAUGCUUUAAGCUGUAGAGCCUUUGGGUUAUUUUUUUUAAUCAUAAAUCUGUAGGAAAUUUUACCUCCUGUCAAUAGCACCCUGAGAUCAUGGAGAAAUCUCACAUUUUAAUAGGGCAAAUACUAAUCUUUAAUCUUUGUAUAAGUUUAAUAAGCUUAAUGAAGGUAUUUUUUCAUAUGCCUGACUACCUUCAUUUUAAUAGAGCAGAAUUCGAUCCAGGUGUCACAAGCAUCAAACAAAGUGAGACAUCUGCCAAAUCAACUACUUUUUGCUUUUCACAUUGAUUGUAAGAGUCUAAAGGAUUCUUUUGCCUGUUGUGUUACAAGACUAGGUUAGAUGAAAUCUAUGAAUAUGCCUGCAAAAGAAGAAAAAUAAUGUGUUUUCUUGCACUCGGCAUUGCCCUUAUUUUACUCCUCACUUCAUUUGAAUAGUUAGCCCCUGUUUAUUGGCAAUGAAUAAAUACAUUUCUCUCUUGGAUCUUGCCUAUACAUCAAAAGAUAGGAAAACUCUCAGAAUGGAGACAAGGGACUACCUUUUUCCCACUCUGCUCUGUUCCAUAUAUUUAUCUUAGGGAUAGUCAACUUUAAUAAUAAUAUGGAAAGAAGAUUCAAGCGGGUGUAGACUAAUGGAACAUGGUUUAGAAGAAUUAGCCUGAGCACUUUGAGGGAGAGAG